rnacentral:rRNA from 1 species
CAGGCUGAAGACCUUACCCGAUUAGCUGAGAGGUGGUGCAUGGCCGUCGUCAGUUCGUACUGUGAAGCAUCCUGUUAAGUCAGGCAACGAGCGAGACCCACGUCCACAGUUGCCGGCAUACCCUCCGGGGCGAUGGGUACACUGUGGAGACCGCCGCUGCUAAAGCGGAGGAAGGAGUGGGCAACGGUAGGUCAGUAUGCCCCGAAUCUCCCGGGCUACACGCGGGCUACAAUGGUUGGUACAAUGGGCAUCUACCCCGAAAGGGGAAGGAAAUCUCUUAAAGCCAAUCGUAGUUCGGAUUGAGGGCUGCAACUCGCCCUCAUGAAGCUGGAAUCCGUAGUAAUCGCGUUUCAACAGAACGCGGUGAAUACGUCCCUGCUCCUU